AAGACCUUGCGCUUUUGGAGCGGCCGAUGCCUGAUUAGCUUGUUGGUAAGGUAAAAGCUUACCAAGGCUUCGAUCAGUAGCUGGUCUGAGAGGACGGCCAGCCACACUGGGACUGAGACACGGCCCAGACUCCUACGGGAGGCAGCAGUGGGGAAUUUUGGACAAUGGGGGCAACCCUGAUCCAGCCAUGCCGCGUGAGUGAAGAAGGCCUUCGGGUUGUAAAGCUCUUUCAGCCGGGAAGAAAAGGUUGCGAUUAAUAAUCGCAAUUCAUGACGGUACCGGAAGAAGAAGCACCGGCUAACUACGUGCCAGCAGCCGCGGUAAUACGUAGGGUGCGAGCGUUAAUCGGAAUUACUGGGCGUAAAGGGUGCGCAGGCGGUUUUGUAAGUCAGAUGUGAAAUCCCCGGGCUUAACCUGGGAACU
rnacentral:rRNA from 1 species